rnacentral:rRNA from 1 species
GAUGAACGCUGGCGGCGUGCCUAAUACAUGCAAGUCGAGCGAACGGACGAGAAGCUUGCUUCUCUGAUGUUAGCGGCGGACGGGUGAGUAACACGUGGAUAACCUACCUAUAAGACUGGGAUAACUUCGGGAAACCGUAGCUAAUACCGCAUAAUAUUUUGAACCGCAUGGUUCAAAAGUGAAAGACGGUCUUGCUGUCACUUAUAGAUGGAUCCGCGCUGCAUUAGCUAGUUGGUAAGGUAACGGCUUACCAAGGCAACGAUGCAUAGCCGACCUGAGAGGGUGAUCGGCCACACUGGACUGGAGACACGGUCAAGACUCCUACGGGAGGAAGAAGUAGGGAAUCUUCCGCAAUGGGCGAACGCCUGACGGAGCAACGCGGCGUGAGUGAUGAAGGUCUUCGGAUCGUAAAACUCUGUGAUUAGGGAAGAACAGAUGUGUAAGUAACUGUGCACAUCUUGACGGUACCUAAUCAGAAAGCCACGGCUAACUACGUG